CACCACGUUACCAUCAUAAUUCACAUUUCACAUUACUAUAUUAUUUAUUAUUAUUAUUACUUUUUCUAUGGCUUCAAAAGCUUAGGUGUGGUGGUGAAAUUUCCAUGCGCUCCCUUCCAUGCGCCUUAUUUAUGGAAGUGAACGAGACUAGGGUUUUCAUUGUGGUCAAGAGUUAUCUGUGUUCUUGGCUCUUGCUUUUGGCCUGUGUGGUCUACGUCAGUUCAUUAAUCUUGAGCUUAUCCUACAUGUUUAUGCAUCUCGAGGUUGGGGUUAAAAGAGUUCUUGUAAAAUCAGGAUGAAGAUCCAGUUUUAUGUUUCUGGUUUUAUGUAGCCAAUAAAACUGAGGUUUAACAGAUGACAUAAUAUUUACCACUAGGGUAUAGUUUUUGCGGGAAUGUAUCGCUUUAAUGCAUGUAUUUUACUGGAUUUGAAUUGUCAAAUUUAAACAAUCAAAUCUCCUUUUGUAGUUUCUGAAUCAUUGGAACGUGAUUUUACUUUGUUUUCCUAAUGUAACUCAAAUAAGAGGAUUUUACUUUAAGUCGUGAGGGUGUUUUGUUUUGAGGAAGGACUUGACUUCUGAAACUACUUGCUAUGGAUUAAAAAUAAAACCCUUCAUGAUUUAGAAUUGUUGUGGAAA